rnacentral:rRNA from 1 species
UACGUAGGGUGCAAGCGUUGUCCGGAAUUAUUGGGCGUAAAGAGCUCGUAGGCGGUCUGUCGCGUCGGCUGUGAAAACCCGAGGCUCAACCUUGGGCCUGCAGUCGAUACGGGCAAACUAGAGUACUGCAGGGGAGACUGGAAUUCCUGGUGUAGCGGUGAAAUGCGCAGAUAUCAGGAGGAACACCGGUGGCGAAGGCGGGUCUCUGGGCCGUAACUGACGCUGAGGAGCGAAAGCGUGGGGAGCGAACAGG